GUAGGUGGCAAGCGUUGUCCGGAAUUAUUGGGCGUAAAGCGCGCGCAGGGCGGUCCUUUAAGUCUGAUGUGAAAGCCCACGGCUCAACCGUGGAGGGUCAUUGGAAACUGGGGGACUUGAGUACAGAAGAGGAAAGCGGAAUUCCAAGUGUAGCGGUGAAAUGCGUAGAGAUUUGGAGGAACACCAGUGGCGAAGGCGGCUUUCUGGUCUGUAACUGACGCUGAGGCGCGAAAGCGUGGGGAGCAAACAGGAUUAGAUACCCUGGUAGUCCACGCCGUAAACGAUGAGUGCUAAGUGUUACGGGGGUUUCCGCCCCUUAGUGCUGCAGCUAACGCAUUAAGCACUCCGCCUGGGGAGUACGGCCGCAAGGCUG
rnacentral:rRNA from 1 species